rnacentral:lncRNA from 1 species
UAAAAUGUUAGAGUUUUUAUGUGACUUGCUGUUGUCCUUUCUUUUUAGCUUGGAACAUAGAGAUGGAGACUUUUUCUGCCUGAGCCCCUGUGUGAUGACAUCCUAGGCUGACAUCUUUCCCCUACCUACCCUGCCACCACCAGCGGACAUGGGUGGAUUGUAUGAAAAGAUAUUAGAAACACAGAAAUACAGCAUCACUGUGAGGAAAUUCUUGACUUGUGAGAUCAUGAAGUCAAGUGGGACUUUCAACCUAGGAAGAAGAGGUAUUUGAGGUAAGAGUUGUUUAAUAAGAGUACAUAAUUUGGUAAACUACAAUCAGUUAAAGAGCAGGAACCAUAUUUCAACAUUAUUCAGCUUUCAGAUUAUGUGUGUCAGUUUGUACAUAGUAGGAAAUCAAUAAAUGUUGCAUUCAGCAAAAACCUAAAAAAGUCUUAGAUUGCAGGAAAUAAUUAUUUAAGAAGAAAUUGCCAACUAGUGGUUUUUCAUGGGAGAAUCAGUGGAUCUUGAAAUUUGGAUAUCACUUUGACUAGUUUGCUUUACAUUUCUCACUGAGCUCUCUUCCUAUAAUAUUUUAUGCUUUAGCAUAUUCUUUGUUUUUAUUCUUGAUAUACAAAUAUGGCUACCUUCUGGUCUUUGAAAGAGUUAAUAAAUUCGCCCAGAAUUUGCCCAUAAGGCAAUGAAAAAUAUAUUGACAUAGUUAAUCAAAGAUGUACACACGUUUAACUUAUCCUGAAAAUAUCUUCUUAUUGAUUGUAAUUUGUGGAGAAUUUUUACACCUUUCCCAAAAGUAGCUUUUCAAAUUGUAUGAAAACUAAGUAGAAUCUGAGAUUUUCUAAGUCUGUUAGCUUUUUUUUUUUUUUUUUUAGCUAUCAAAAAGCAUGUAAAGGAACAAAGAUUAGGCUAUUAAAAUUCAAUCUUUAUUUCUAAAUUAAAAUUAUUUCAACAAUGUGAUUUUUGGGGGCUAAUCUGUGAGCUCCAAAAAACAUUAUGCUUUUUUUGGUAGCCUUUUCAAUCAACU